GGUUGGAUCAUUAAUAAUUCAAGAGGUACUUUACUGUAUCUUUUUGGCUUGCACCACUUGCCAUUUAUUUGGCAUGAGGGGCUUGCUGAUAAAACACACUGUGCACUGUAAUUGUAUUUUGGGGAAAGUUAUCGGCGGCUACACAACUGUUAGCAUGUCUUACGGCUUUCCCUGCCCAAACCCAAAACCCAAACCAACGUAUUUAAACAUCAUAUGACUUAUACUUAUUUUUUAUAAAAUAAUACAACUUUUGACAACGGAUCUCUUGGCUCUCGCAACGAUGAAGAACGCAGCGAAAUGCGAUACGUAAUGUGAAUUGCAGAAUUCCGUGAAUCAUCGAAUCUUUGAACGCAUAUUGCACUCCCUUUACGGGGAGUAUGCCUGUUUGAGAAUCUAUAGUAUCUAUUUUUGCAUUAACUUGCAAGAGAUUUGGGACUUCUAAUGGGGUAAAACUCACUAGUGUCCUUAAACCUAUAGCCCAUAAGACGGUGAAGAUGCCUGACAUCCUCAUAGUGUCUACUGGAAUAGUGUUUGAAUGAAACCGUGGUUUUUAAUAAUGCUUAGUACGUAGGUGGUGAGGAUUUAGUCUUUACUCGUGUUUUGUGUUCUUAACCUUAAAGGUAGUUUUGCCUUUGUCUGUGGUAACUUUUAUUAGGAGCCAUGGGUAAACUGGCGGAAUUGCCUUGAACAAUGGUCUCAAAUCAGGCAGGAAGACCCGCUGAACUUAAGCAUAUCAAUAAGCGGAGGAAAAGAAACUAACAAGGAUUCCCCUAGUAACGGCGAGUGAAGCGGGAACAGCUCAAAUUUGAAAUCUCACAGGUUCCCUGUGCGAAUUGUAGUUUAGAGAAGCGUUUUCGAGGUAGACUUUGGGUACAAGUUCUUUGGAACAAGGCAUCAUAGAGGGUGAAAAUCCCGUCUUUGACCCAAGGCUCUAUUCAUGUGAUACGUUUUCCAAGAGUCGGUUUGUUUGGGAAUGCAGACCAAAAUGGGUGGUAAAUAUCAUCUAAAGCUAAAUAUUGGCGAGAGACCGAUAGCGAACAAGUACCGUGAGGGAAAGAUGAAAAGAACUUUGAAAAGAGAGUUAAACAGUACGUGAAAUUGUCAAAGGGAAACGCUUGAAACCAGUAUUGUUGGCAAGAAUUCAACCUUAGUUUACUAGGGUGUAUUUUCUUGUCUGCGAGUCAACAUCAGUUUGAACCUGAAGUAAAAAGCCGUGGGAAGUAACCCUCGGGUAUUAUAGCCCACGGUCAUACUUUGAGUUAGACUGAGGACUGCAGCGUUUUUUGGGGAACCAAUCGCCUUUGGAAUUAGCUAGGUUAAUGCGUGCAGAUGACCUAGUCUAGCAAGAAGCCCGGUCGGUGUACCACACCAGCGCUUAGGAUGUUGACGAAAUGGUUUUAAACGACCCGUCUUGAAACACGGACCAAGGAGUCUAACAUAUAUGCGAGUAUUUGGGUGGUAAACCCUUAUGCGUAAUGAAAGUGAAAAGGUGGGAUUCUUAUUGAUGCACCAUCGACCGCGCCAGAUUAUUACUAUCUCGGCGUGAGUAUGAGCAUACAUGCUGGGACCGAAAGAUGGUGAACUAUGCCUGAAUAGGGUGAAGCCAGAGGAAACUCUGGUGGAGGCUCGUAGCGGUUCUGACGUGCAAAUCGAUCGUCGAAUUUGGGUAUAGGGGCGAAAGACUAAUCGAACCAUCUAGUAGCUGGUUCCCUC
rnacentral:misc_RNA from 1 species